rnacentral:lncRNA from 1 species
UAGGUUUCCCGGCAACUUUUAUUACAAAGACGGUUCUAGGGACUCCCGGCCCCUGCAGCUGGCCCAGCUCUGCACCAUCCCAGCUAUGGGGGACAAAACUAGGUGAAUUCUCCAUGCACAGAGGAGCCUGGUCAGGCCCAUCCUGGGGACAGUCACUUCCAGUGUUGCACGGAGGCCCCCUUGGGCCUCUGCACAGGUGGCAGCCAUUCACAGUCAGCACAAGGGCCACCACCUGCUCGAACUUGUGCUGCAGCUGCGUCCUCCGGGCCGUGGGGUUGGCCUCCAGCGCUGUCACGAUCUGUGGGGUGACCAGGACAGCUGGGCCUCAGCUCUCAGAACAGGCUGCCUGGUGCCCACCCAGGAGCCUUGACUGGAAAACGUCACCACCCCAGAGUCUUAGACUGCCAGGUGUGGGGUGCUCACCUGUGGGCGGUACCGCUUGGCAUAUUUAUAGACCUCUGCCAGCGCCACAUUAGUGUUGAACUCAUUCUGGUACUUCUGCAGGGACACGGAGGAGGAGGGCAUGGUCUUGGUCACCAAAGGGACUCACGCUGCCCUGCUCAGCCUUCAGGCAAGCAAGCAGGCCCCUCAGAGGCCCCAGGAUCCAUCUCCUCUCCCCCCAUGGAGCACUCCACCCAUGCCCAAGUCCCCUUUGUGCCCACCCGAGACUCCUCAGCCAGAUGGGCGUUCAUCUCCUGCUCACUGAGCGGCGCCAUGUCCUGGAUCUGCUUGUAGUAGCGCUGCACGACCUUGCGGUACUCGGGGAUCUCCUUCGCAUACAGCAGCUUGUUGGUGGGUGAGUCCUGGCCAGGAGAGGGGUGGAGGGUAGUGGUAGAGGUGGAGGGAGGGGGUGAGGGUGCCGUGUAUCAUGAACCCUGGCCCCACUGCCACAGAUGUGGGCUUGCUGGGCCAUCCCUGUGUCCCCAUGGUGCUGGCUUCCAGCUCUCCUAUGUCCCCAGCUCAGGAUCACAACCUGUGGCCUACUCUGGGGGCAAAGUGCAGGAGUGCCAUGCCAGCCCCAUGGGGUUAGGAGUCAUAGGGACUGCUGGAGGCCCAGUUCCUGGCUCAGUUGAACAUUUUCCACCACGUGUCUGACACCUGGAAGCCACCCAGCUAAGACUGCCGCCUCUGUGUCCCUCUGGGGACGUCCUCACAACAGAUGGCAUCUUUUGCCCUCCUGGUCUUUCCAUCUCUGCCAUCUGGUGGUCCUCCCCACCCUGGGGUGCUGAGUCUCUCCUGUCUUGGCCUGGAAGCCCCCUCUGCCUAUUCAGCUCCAAAGCCAGUCGGGUGCCCUGGCUCAGGUGGAGCCUUGUGCCGCCUUCCUGCGUGUUGCUCUGAUGUCCCAGUCCCACCCACCCCUGACCCUGUGCAGUGGCUCAUGACCUUCAAGGGCUGCUGCCUGGACCCCACACUCAGGCCAGCCUGGCUCACCUUAGGCAGCAGGGUGGGUUGCUGGGUACCCCUGCCUACAGAUCCCACUUACCCUAUGGCUUCCACCCCACUCCACUGUCCCACCCAGGAAGCCCACCUUGCCCAGCUGCAGGUCAGAGAUGGAGCAGGCAUCAAUGAAGGCCUGUGCGAUGACCGUCAGGCAGGCAUCAAUGUGGUCUGUCUUCUCGAUGUCGAACACAAACUGGGGGUUCUUCAGGAUGUUCACCCAAAAGCGGAGGGGCAGGCUGGGGUAGGGGAAUGGGCUGCGUGAGCCCUGGGGACCCCUGGAACCCCCGGCCUUCUCUUUCUGGCCAGCUGGGCCCCAGCUCCCCCACAGUCUCCAUGGUCCCCAGCUCUCAGCAGGAGCCUCGCUGGGUUCUGGUUCUCAUUAGAGCCCUGCCCGCCUGCCUAUUCUGCUCCGCAUGCAGCCAGCAGCCAGCAGCCAGUGUUAGCAGGACAGGGCGGUGGGUCUGGACUCUAGGCCUUGUCCUCUAGAGGCUUGGGGGGCUGCUGACAAUCCAACCCCAACACAGGGCCACCAGGUGACAUGGCAGCCUGGGGCCAUAGGACCCCCAGAGCUGAGAAGCUCCUGAACCACUCAGAAACCCUGGGUGCUGGUGUUCUGGGGAUCGGGUGGAGGAUUUCAACCCCUGAAGCUGAGAUGUAUGUGACUCAAGGGAGAGCUGAGAACAGGCCAUGGGCCCCAGAGCAUUGAGGGCUGAGCCGGGCUCCACCACCCCAGGGCAGAGGGACAGUGGCAGGGGUCAAAGCUUCCACAGUUAAGGUGGCUCCUAUCGAGGCCUUGGGUUUAC